UACGGGGGGGGCAAGCGUUGUUCGGAAUUACUGGGCGUAAAGGGCUCGUAGGUGGCCAACUAAGUCAGACGUGAAAUCCCUCGGCUUAACCGGGGAACUGCGUCUGAUACUGGAUGGCUUGAGUUCGGGAGAGGGAUGCGGAAUUCCAGGUGUAGCGGUGAAAUGCGUAGAUAUCUGGAGGAACACCAAUGGCGAAGGCAGCUCGCUGGGACGGUACUGACGCUGAGGCGCGAAAGCGUGGGGAGCGAACAGG
rnacentral:rRNA from 1 species